rnacentral:rRNA from 2 species
GGGGAAUAUUGGGCAAUGGGGGAAACCCUGACCCAGCAACGCCGCGUGAGUGAAGAAGGCCUUCGGGUUGUAAAGCUCUGUCGCAGGGGACGAAGAAAGUGACGGUACCCUGUGAGGAAGCCCCGGCUAACUACGUGCCAGCAGCCGCGGUAAUACGUAGGGGGCGAGCGUUGUCCGGAAUUACUGGGCGUAAAGGGUGCGUAGGCGGCUUGUUAAGUUGGAUGUGAAAUACCCGGGCUCAACCUGGGGGGUGCAUUCGAUACUGGCAGGCUAGAGUGCAGGAGAGGGAAGCGGAAUUCCUAGUGUAGCGGUGAAAUGCGUAGAUAUUAGGAGGAACACCAGUGGCGAAGGCGGCUUUCUGGACUGUAACUGACGCUGAUGCACGAAAGCGUGGGGAGCAAACA